UCCUACGGGAGGCAGNAGUGGGGAAUCUUGCGCAAUGCGCGAAAGCGUGACGCAGCAACACCGCGUGAGGGAAGACGGCCUUAGGGUUGUNAACCUCUUUCAGAUGGGACGAAGGUGAUGCGGUGAAUAGCCGAUGUCAUUGACGGUACCGUCAGAAGAAGCUCCGGCUAACUACGUGCCAGCAGCCGCGGUAAUA
rnacentral:rRNA from 1 species